rnacentral:rRNA from 1 species
UAAAAAAUAAAGAGUCGAGCCUGCCCAGUGAUAGAUAUUUAACGGCCGCGGUACUCUGACCGUGCAAAGGUAGCAUAAUCAUUUGCCUUAUAAUUGAAGGCUAGUAUGAAUGGUUUGACGAAAACAAUACUGUCUCUUUUUAAUUUUAUAAAAUUUGAUUUUUAGGUGAAGAAGCCUAAAUAAAAUUGAAAGACAAGAAGACCCUAUCGAGCUUAAAAAAAUUUUGUUAAAAUAAAAUGGCUAUAAAAGACCACCUAUAACAAAAAAUUUUAGUUGGGGCGACUAAGGAACAAAAAAGCUUCCGCUUUAUUAUAAAAGCUUAUAAGCUAUGAUCCAAAAUUCUUGAUUAAAAAAAUUAGCUACCGUAGGGAUAACAGCAUAAUCUUUUUUGAGAGUUCUUAUCGAAAAAUAGGUUUGUGACCUCGAUGUUGGACUAGAAUAUCCUAAAUGAUGCAGAAGUCUUUAAGGGUUGGUCUGUUCGACC